CCUACGGGAGGCAGCAGUGGGGAAUUUUGGACAAUGGGCGCAAGCCUGAUCCAGCAAUGCCGCGUGCAGGAUGAAGGCCUUCGGGUUGUAAACUGCUUUUGUACGGAACGAAACGGUCUACCCUAAUACGGUGGGCUAAUGACGGUACCGUAAGAAUAAGCACCGGCUAACUACGUGCCAGCAGCCGCGGUAAUACGUAGGGUGCGAGCGUUAAUCGGAAUUACUGGGCGUAAAGCGUGCGCAGGCGGUUAUAUAAGACAGAUGUGAAAUCCCCGGGCUCAACCUGGGACCUGCAUUUGUGACUGUAUAGCUAGAGUACGGUAGAGGGGGAUGGAAUUCCGCGUGUAGCAGUGAAAUGCGUAGAUAUGCGGAGGAACACCGAUGGCGAAGGCAAUCCCCUGGACCUGUACUGACGCUCAUGCACGAAAGCGUGGGGAGCAAACAGGAUUAGAUACCCUGGUAGUCCACGCCCUAAACGAUGUCAACUGGUUGUUGGGUCUUCACUGACUCAGUAACGAAGCUAACGCGUGAAGUUGACCGCCUGGGGAGGACGGUCGCGAGUUAGUUAAGUAAAGUUAAGUUAGUAGGCGNGNGAGNGCGACGGACGACGACGAGGGAGGAGG
rnacentral:rRNA from 1 species